rnacentral:rRNA from 1 species
AGAGUUUGAUCCUGGCUCAGGAUGAACGCUAGCGACAGGCUUAACACAUGCAAGUCGAGGGGCAGCGGAGGCGAGUGCUUGCACUUGCCAGACGGCGACCGGCGCACGGGUGAGUAACACGUAUGCGACCUGCCCGUAGCAGGGGGAUAAGCGGAAGAAAUUCCGUCUAAUACCGCGUAAUAUCUUUCGGGGGCAUCCCUGAGGGAUUAAAGGAAGCGAUUCCGGCUACGGAUGGGCAUGCGGCGCAUUAGCUAGUCGGCGGGGUAACGGCCCACCGAGGCGACGAUGCGUAGGGGUUCUGAGAGGAAGGUCCCCCACACUGGUACUGAGACACGGACCAGACUCCUACGGGAGGCAGCAGUGAGGAAUAUUGGUCAAUGGGCGAGAGCCUGAACCAGCCAAGUCGCGUGAGGGAAGGCGGUCCUAUGGAUUGUAAACCUCUUUUGUCGGGGAGCAAAAAGGCCUCGUGAGGCCACAAGCGAGAGUACCCGAAGAAAAAGCAUCGGCUAACUCCAUGCCAGCAGCCGCGGUAAUACGGAGGAUGCGAGCGUUAUCCGGAUUUAUUGGGUUUAAAGGGUGCGUAGGCGGACUGGAAAGUCAGCGGUAAAAUCGAGAGGCUCAACCUCUUUCCGCCGUUGAAACUGUCGGUCUUGAGUGGGCGAGAAGUAUGCGGAAUGCGUGGUGUAGCGGUGAAAUGCAUAGAUAUCACGCAGAACUCCGAUUGCGAAGGCAGCAUACCGGCGCCCGACUGACGCUGAGGCACGAAAGCGUGGGUAUCGAACAGGAUUAGAUACCCUGGUAGUCCACGCAGUAAACGAUGAAUACUAAUUGUCCGGUCAGAAUGAUGACUGGGUGAUACAGCGAAAGCGUUAAGUAUUCCACCUGGGGAGUACGCCGGCAACGGUGAAACUCAAAGGAAUUGACGGGGGCCCGCACAAGCGGAGGAACAUGUGGUUUAAUUCGAUGAUACGCGAGGAACCUUACCCGGGCUCAAACGUAGAAUGACAGACGGUGAAAGCCGUUCUCCCUUCGGGGCAGUCUACGAGGUGCUGCAUGGUUGUCGUCAGCUCGUGCCGUGAGGUGUCGGCUUAAGUGCCAUAACGAGCGCAACCCCCAUCUACAGUUGCUAACAGGUAAAGCUGAGGACUCUGUGGAGACUGCCGGCGCAAGCUGUGAGGAAGGCGGGGAUGACGUCAAAUCAGCACGGCCCUUACGUCCGGGGCGACACACGUGUUACAAUGGCAGGUACAGAGAGAUGCCACCUGGCGACAGGGAGCAGAACUCGAAAGCCUGUCUCAGUUCGGAUCGGAGUCUGCAACCCGACUCCGUGAAGCUGGAUUCGCUAGUAAUCGCGCAUCAGCCAUGGCGCGGUGAAUACGUUCCCGGGCCUUGCACACACCGCCCGUCA